rnacentral:rRNA from 1 species
UACGGAAGGUCCGGGCGUUAUCCGGAUUUAUUGGGUUUAAAGGGAGCGUAGGCCGCCCCUUAAGCGUGUUGUGAAAUGCGGGUGCUCAACAUCCGACUUGCAGCGCGAACUGGGGGGCUUGAGUGCGCCGAAAGUAGGCGGAAUUCGUGGUGUAGCGGUGAAAUGCUUAGAUAUCACGAAGAACUCCGAUUGCGAAGGCAGCUUACUGUAGCGCAACUGACGCUGAUGCUCGAAAGCGUGGGUAUCGAAC